rnacentral:rRNA from 1 species
GAACCGUGCGAACGUUAUUCGGAAUCACUGGGCUUAAAGCGCGUGUAGGCGGGCCGGCACGUUCGCCGCUGAAAUCCCCCGGCUCAACCGGGGAAGGGGCGCGAAUACGGCCGGCCUGGAGGGGGGUAGGGGGCGCCGGAACUCACGGUGGAGCGGUGAAAUGCGUUGAGAUCGUGAGGAACGCCCGUGGCGAAAGCGGGCGCCUGGACCCCACCUGACGCUGAGACGCGAAAGCCAGGGGAGCGAACGGGAUUAGAUACCCCGGUAGUCCUGGCCGUAAACCAUGAGCACUGGGUAGGGGGCUCGCCGAUGGGCUCCCUGCCGCAGCGAAAGCGUGAAGUGCUCCGCCUGGGGAGUAUGGUCGCAAGGCUG